GAGUGCGGUCCCGGGUCUGCUACACACCGCCGGUCACACCACGGGAGGUGGAGACGCCCGAAGCCGAUUAUCUAACCUGUUGGAAGAAGUCGUCGAAGGGGGAAUCAAUAACUGGGGUGAAGUCGUAACAAGGUAGCCGUAUCGGAAGGUGCGGCUGGAUCACCUCCUUUCUAAGGAGA
rnacentral:rRNA from 1 species